CGCUAGCUACAGGCUUAACACAUGCAAGUCGAGGGUCAGCAUGGUCUUAGCUUGCUAAGGCCGAUGGCGACCGGCGCACGGGUGAGUAACGCGUAUCCAACCUGCCUUACACUCUUGGACAGCCUUCUGAAAGGGAGAUUAAUACAAGAUGUUAUCAUGAGUAAGCAUUUUCGCAUGAUUAAAGGUUUACCGGUGUAAGAUGGGGAUGCGUUCCAUUAGAUAGUAGGCGGGGUAACGGCCCACCUAGUCUUCGAUGGAUAGGGGUUCUGAGAGGAAGGUCCCCCACAUUGGAACUGAGACACGGUCCAAACUCCUACGGGAGGCAGCAGUGAGGAAUAUUGGUCAAUGGACGAGAGUCUGAACCAGCCAAGUAGCGUGAAGGAUGAAGGUUCUAUGGAUUGUAAACUUCUUUUAUACGGGAAUAAACGAAUCCACGCGUGGAUUUUUGCAUGUACCGUAUGAAUAAGGAUCGGCUAACUCCGUGCCAGCAGCCGCGGUAAUACGGAGGAUCCGAGCGUUAUCCGGAUUUAUUGGGUUUAAAGGGAGCGUAGAUGGGUUGUUAAGUCAGUUGUGAAAGUUUGCGGCUCAACCGUAAAAUUGCAAUUGAUACUGGCAGUCUUGAGUACAGUUGAGGUAGGCGGAAUUCGUGGUGUAGCGGUGAAAUGCUUAGAUAUCACGAAGAACUCCGAUUGCGAAGGCAGCUUACUAACCUGUAACUGACAUUGAUGCUCGAAAGUGUGGGUAUCAAACAGGAUUAGAUACCCUGGUAGUCCACACGGUAAACGAUGAAUACUCGCUGUAGGCGAUAUACAGUCUGCGG
rnacentral:rRNA from 1 species